rnacentral:rRNA from 1 species
GACAGAGGUCCCAAGCGUUAGGCGGAAUCACUGGGCUUAAAGCGUGUGUAGGCGGAGUGCUAAGUACCUUGUGAAAUCCCACGGCUCACCCGUGGAACUGCUUGGUAUACUGGUUGUCUUGAGCCAGCUAGGGGCGAGCGGAACAGACGGUGGAGCGGUGAAAUGCGUAGAUAUCGUCUGGAACGCCGAAGGUGAAAACAGCUCGCUGGGGCUGCGCUGACGCUGAGACACGAAAGCCAGGGGAGCGAACGGG